rnacentral:rRNA from 1 species
AUGCAAGUCGAACGAAACUUUCUUACACCGAAUGCUUGCAUUCACCGUAAGAAGUUGAGUGGCGGACGGGUGAGUAACACGUGGGUAACCUGCCUAAAAGAAGGGGAUAACACUUGGAAACAGGUGCUAAUACCGUAUAUAUCUAAGGAUCGCAUGAUCCUUAGAUGAAAGAUGGUUCUGCUAUCGCUUUUAGAUGGACCCGCGGCGUAUUAACUAGUUGGUGGGGUAACGGCCUACCAAGGUGAUGAUACGUAGCCGAACUGAGAGGUUGAUCGGCCACAUUGGGACUGAGACACGGCCCAAACUCCUACGGGAGGCAGCAGUAGGGAAUCUUCCACAAUGGACGCAAGUCUGAUGGAGCAACGCCGCGUGAGUGAAGAAGGUCUUCGGAUCGUAAAACUCUGUUGUUAGAGAAGAACACGAGUGAGAGUAACUGUUCAUUCGAUGACGGUAUCUAACCAGCAAGUCACGGCUAACUACGUGCCAGCAGCCGCGGUAAUACGUAGGUGGCAAGCGUUGUCCGGAUUUAUUGGGCGUAAAGGGAACGCAGGCGGUCUUUUAAGUCUGAUGUGAAAGCCUUCGGCUUAACCGGAGUAGUGCAUUGGAAACUGGAAGACUUGAGUGCAGAAGAGGAGAGUGGAACUCCAUGUGUAGCGGUGAAAUGCGUAGAUAUAUGGAAGAACACCAGUGGCGAAAGCGGCUCUCUGGUCUGUAACUGACGCUGAGGUUCGAAAGCGUGGGUAGCAAACAGGAUUAGAUACCCUGGUAGUCCACGCCGUAAACGAUGAAUGCUAGGUGUUGGAGGGUUUCCGCCCUUCAGUGCCGCAGCUAACGCAAUAAGCAUUCCGCCUGGGGAGUACGACCGCAAGGUUGAAACUCAAAGGAAUUGACGGGGGCCCGCACAAGCGGUGGAGCAUGUGGUUUAAUUCGAAGCAACGCGAAGAACCUUACCAGGUCUUGACAUCCUUUGACCACCUAAGAGAUUAGGCUUUCCCUUCGGGGACAAAGUGACAGGUGGUGCAUGGCUGUCGUCAGCUCGUGUCGUGAGAUGUUGGGUUAAGUCCCGCAACGAGCGCAACCCUUGUUGUCAGUUGCCAGCAUUAAGUUGGGCACUCUGGCGAGACUGCCGGUGACAAAUCGGAGGAAGGUGGGGACGACGUCAAGUCAUCAUGCCCCUUAUGACCUGGGCUACACACGUGCUACAAUGGACGGUACAACGAGUCGCGAGACCGCGAGGUUUAGCUAAUCUCUUAAAGCCGUUCUCAGUUCGGAUUGUAGGCUGCAACUCGCCUACAUGAAGUCGGAAUCGCUAGUAAUCGCGAAUCAGCAUGUCGCGGUGAAUACGUUCCCGGGCCUUGUACACACCGCCCGUCACACCAUGAGAGUUUGUAACACCCAAAGCCGGUGGGGUAACCGCAAGGAGCCAGCCG